rnacentral:ncRNA from 2 species
CCUAACACUGUCCUGGAUGGUUCCCCGAUGGUUUCGGCCAGACGGGAAAAGGGAACACGGUGCGGCCCACUUGGCCAAUUCCGCGACUGCCCCCGCAACUGUAAGCGGCGAGCGACCCUGAGACAGCCACUGGCCAAUUGGCCGGGAAGGCUCAGGCAAGCAUCGACCCGCAAGUCAGGAGACCUGCCAUCAUCAACUGUAACCA